UAAUGUAUGGGGAUCUGCCCGAUAGAGGGGGAUAACUACUGGGAAACGGUGGCUAAUACCGCAUAAUGUCUACGGACCAAAGCAGGGGCUCUUCGGACCUUGCACUAUCGGAUGAACCCAUAUGGGAUUAGCUAGUAGGUGGGUAAAGGCUCACCUAGGCGACGAUCUCUAGCUGGUCUGAGAGGAUGAUCAGCCACACUGGGACUGAGACACGGCCCAG
rnacentral:rRNA from 1 species